AACGAACGCUGGCGGCAUGCCUAACACAUGCAAGUCGAACGAGACCUUCGGGUCUAGUGGCGCACGGGUGCGUAACGCGUGGGAACCUGCCUUUAGGUUCGGAAUAACUCAGAGAAAUUUGAGCUAAUACCGGAUAAUGUCUUCGGACCAAAGAUUUAUCGCCUUUAGAUGGGCCCGCGUUGGAUUAGCUAGUUGGUGGGGUAAAGGCCUACCAAGGCGACGAUCCAUAGCUGGUCUGAGAGGAUGAUCAGCCACACUGGGACUGAGACACGGCCCAGACUCCUACGGGAGGCAGCAGUGGGGAAUAUUGGACAAUGGGCGAAAGCCUGAUCCAGCAAUGCCGCGUGAGUGAUGAAGGCCUUAGGGUUGUAAAGCUCUUUUACCCGAGAUGAUAAUGACAGUAUCGGGAGGAAUAAAGCUCCGGCUAACUCCGUGCCAGACAGCCGCGGUAAAGUAGACUACUG
rnacentral:rRNA from 1 species